CCUACGGGAGGCUGCAGUGGGGAAUAUUGGACAAUGGGCGAAAGCCUGAUCCAGCCAUGCCGCGUGUGUGAAGAAGGCCUUCGGGUUGUAAAGCACUUUCAGUGGGGAAGAAAGCCUUGGGGCUAAUACCCUCGAGGAAGGACAUCACCCACAGAAGAAGCACCGGCUAACUCCGGGCCAGCAGCCGCGGUAAUACGGAGGGUGCGAGCGUUAAUCGGAAUUACUGGGCGUAAAGCGCGCGUAGGCGGUCUGAUAAGCCGGUUGUGAAAGCCCCGGGCUCAACCUGGGAACGGCAUCCGGAACUGUCAGGCUAGAGUGCAGGAGAGGAAGGUAGAAUUCCCGGGGUAGCGGUGAAAUGCGUAGAGAUCGGGAGGAAUACCAGUGGCGAAGGCGGCCUUCUGGACUGACACUGACGCUGAGGUGCGAAAGCGUGGGUAGCAAACAGGAUUAGAUACCCUGGUAGUC
rnacentral:rRNA from 1 species